AACGAACGCUGGCGGCAGGCCUAACACAUGCAAGUCGAACGCCCUAGCAAUAGGGAGUGGCAGACGGGUGAGUAACGCGUGAGAACGUGCCUUUCGGUUCGGAAUAACUCAGGGAAACUUGAGCUAAUACCGGAUACGCCCUUCGGGGGAAAGAUUUAUUGCCGAAAGAUCGGCCCGCGUCCGAUUAGCUAGUUGGUGUGGUAAUGGCGCACCAAGGCGACGAUCGGUAGCUGGUCUGAGAGGAUGAUCAGCCACACUGGGACUGAGACACGGCCCAGACUCCUACGGGAGGCAGUAGUGGGGAAUAUUGGACAAUGGGCGCAAGCCUGAUCCAGCCAUGCCGCGUGAGUGAUGAAGGCCCUAGGGUUGUAAAGCUCUUUCGCCAGGGACGAUAAUGACGGUACCUGGAUAAGAAGCCCCGGCUAACUUCGUGCCAGCAGCCGCAGUAAAAC
rnacentral:rRNA from 1 species